rnacentral:rRNA from 1 species
UACGUAGGGGGCAAGCGUUGUCCGGAAUCAUUGGGCGUAAAGCGCGCGUAGGCGGCCCGAUCAGUCCGCUGUAAAAGUCCAGGGCUCAACCCUGGAAAGCCGGUGGACUACUGUCGGGCUAGAGUCCGGAAGAGGCGAGUGGAAUUCCUGGUGUAGCGGUGGAAUGCGCAGAUAUCAGGAGGAACACCGAUAGCGAAGGCAGCUCGCUGGGACGGUACUGACGCUGAGGUGCGAAAGCGUGGGGAGCGAACAGG